UGGCAUAGUGGUUAAAUGCUGUGGCUGCUAACCAAAAGGUUGGCAGUUCGAAUCUGCC
rnacentral:tRNA from 1 species